rnacentral:rRNA from 1 species
GAGUUUGAUCAUGGCUCAGAUUGAACGCUGGUGGCAUGCCUUACACAUGCAAGUCGAACGGCAGCACGGGAGCUUGCUCCUGGUGGCGAGUGGCGAACGGGUGAGUAAUGCAUCGGAACGUAUCCUGGAGUGGGGGAUAACGUAGCGAAAGUUACGCUAAUACCGCAUAUUCUGUGAGCAGGAAAGCGGGGGACCUUCGGGCCUCGCGCUCUUGGAGCGGCCGAUGUCGGAUUAGCUAGUUGGUGAGGUAAAGGCUCACCAAGGCGACGAUCCGUAGCAGGUCUGAGAGGAUGAUCUGCCACACUGGAACUGAGACACGGUCCAGACUCCUACGGGAGGCAGCAGUGGGGAAUUUUUGGACAAUGGGGGCAACCCUGAUCCAGCCAUGCCGCGUGAGUGAAGAAGGCCUCGGUUGUAAAG